rnacentral:rRNA from 1 species
UAUUUCUGGCGUUAACCUUUAAGCUGGACAAUAAAAAUUACCAUUUAAAAUCUAAAGAACUUGGCGGCGUUCAAACUCCUCAGGGGAACCUGUCCCUUAAUUCGAUACUCCACGACUGUCACACCUGUUUUUGCCAUUCAGUUAAUGUACUGCCGUCAUAAGUACACCUCAGAGAGUUAGUGUGCAUCAAUGCCUUCGCGCAUUUAUGUCAGGUCAAAGUGUUGCCAAUAAACAGGGGGAGAUGGGUUACAACUAAAACUAGGAUCCCUCAAGCACCUCUGAAAAGAUAUCUUAAAGAAGAACUUGACAGUAAUGGAACCUACUAAACAUCCAUGAACAAGAAUCUGGAACGUGCACAAAUCGCCCGUCGCUCCCGUCGAAAGAUG